UCUCCAAUUCCGUGCCUGACCAAUUCCCCUCCACCUCUGGAACCCUCCCGAUCCAAACCCAUCCAACAGGAGCUCCCAAGGCCGACCACCGCAGCUUGGCACGCCAUCUUGCUCCGCCGCCUCCCUGCAUCCGUCGGCCUGCUCCCAUCUCCCGCUCGUCCCGUGUGCCCAGCCGCCGGCUCGCGUUGACCAGGCGGUUACCCCGCGCGUGGGUAGCGCAGAGCACCGAGGCGUCUGCCUCGACCGGCCUCACAGCGCAGCCCCGUCGCCAGCAGUCGUUGGCCAGCGCACCAAGCCCGCUGCAGUAGGUUUCCAUUCCCUUCCUCCUCCUCUCCCGUUCGUCUCUCCUUCCUGCUCUCCUUCCCUCCUUAUUUCUCCCUCUCUCUAUCUCAUACCUCUCCCUCUGUUCGUUUCUUCUGUCAGGAGCAGAACGGGAACCCGCUGCCGCCCUGGAUCACGACGUCUGCACCCAGCCAUCGCCCCUGUAUGCCAAUGUCUCGAUCUAGAUCGUCCCCGUGCAGUUCCCGCAGGAUCCAUGUCGUUCCCUGCUCGCCUCGUCCUCCAGUCCGUCAUGGGAGCCGACUCGCCGCUGGCCCUUGACCUUGCCUGCAAGCACCCGACGGCCGUGGUUCGUGGGUGUGUUGACCGUGCCCUCCCUACCCAGAGCGGAGGCGCUGGAGGGCGUCCUCACUUGCCUGGCCCGCAGCACCUCCCACCAGCCUCGUUCCCCCAUUGUAAGUGAGCCCAGUCAGAUCUGGAUUUUAAUUUUUUUUACUAGAUCCGUUCUGGGCUGUUAGGGUAUUGGGUUUGCCAUGACACUAGUACACACGCAACACCAGUGACGAGGUGGUUAGAGCCUCUAGUUUGCAUCAAGGAUGUCUUGGGUUCAAAUCCCAGAAUUCCCUUCCCUUUACUAAUUUUUACACAGCCAUGGCUAGCCCCGUUUUCAGGUUUAGCGUGUGUUUAUGCCCUUCUUCUGAAGGAACCUAGUUGUAUCACUAGCGCCCCACUUAGCACAGUUGGUCAACCGAGUGAGCUAGCAUGCUCAAGUGUCUGGUUCGAAUCACAUGCACAACACAUUUUGUUUCACCGUUUUCUUUUUAUUUUUUUUGCAUUCACAUCUGCACUACGUCAUUUAGCUAGUUUUUCUAAACUGACUGAUUUAUAUUGUUAGUAACAAAUGUGGUAGCCCAACUGGUCUGUGUGCUUGCUUACCACCUAGAGGUCGUGGUUCGAUUCCCAGGCUACCCAAUUUCUUUGCCAUAUUGUUUUUUUUCCUUUUGUUAGGCACAUACACACACUCAACCCCUCGGGUUUGAUUUAAUACUGGACGCUUCACUAUGUUGCAAUUCAGCCCAUGCAUAUCCAUGUCAUUUUUUUUCCUGUUGUGAUUUAUUUCGAGGCAUGCUUUGUAGUAUGUCUUGCGAGUUGUUCAUUUCGUAGAUGCCAUGCUAGGUGCACAUUGUCCUUCUUUUUCCGUGCCUGACACAUGGAAACCCGGUAACCGAGAUCACCCCAUCAUUCUUGGCAUGACACGCACACGCUCCCAAUUCGUUGGCACCGAUACCUCGUCGAGUUAUCAGGACCGAAACGUUGCCGUGACAUUGUUUCCGUUUUGCCGCCAUGGUUCUCUUUCGUUCGCGAUGGCGACACAUGCUUUUUGUCCUUCUCGCCAGUGUUUACAUAAAUUGCAUGCAUAUUGCAUUCAUGGCAUAAUAUCUUGUGUCGCACGUAUGUUUUAACCGUAGCUCCGUUAGUGAAGACCUAUAUGAGGAACCGGCUAGUAUGACGUGUAGAAUCACACGCUUCACCUCUUGCCAUGUUUAACCAACAUUUAAUAUUGUCGUGUACCUAAUCGGGAUAGAACUAAAUAAGUCGUAUGUGGAGUUUCGUCAGUAUGCAACUCGUUGCCUAUUGAACUUCACUUAAUGUGUAGUGUUUGAUUGUGUGAAUUGUCUUGCCGUGACUUGCAUGUAUUCAGCUGCUCAUGCAUCAUAUGUGUUGUGCAUCAUGUGGUGAACUCUGUGUGUUGAUUUGUGUUUCCGGUUUGCUUCGUCUCGAUAGAGAUCCGCAGCGUGCCGGAUUGUGAGGACCCGUCGACUACAUCGGUUCGUCUGCUUCACGGAGGCAUUCUUCUUUCAAGCGGGAUCUCAGGCAAGAUGAUCAUUUCCCCAGAUACCAUUACUAUCAUUGCCAUGCUAGUUUAUCGCUUCUAUCGUUUAUGUCUCGUUGCCUACCACCUGUUAAAUAUCAGCCUCUCAACAAUGCCAUGAUUACCAUCAACCUGUUCGACCUAGCAAACCACUGAUUGGCUAUGUUACCGCUUGCUUAAUCCUGUUGUUAGCGUUGUUAGUUGCAGGUGCAGUUGCUUCCAUGUGAAAACAUGAGUUCCUUGUUAUAUCACCAUACUAUUUAAUUUAAUGCACCUAUAUACUUGGUAAAAGGUGGAAGGCUCGUCCUUUCUAGCCUGGUGUUUUGUUCCACCUUUGCCCCCUUAGUUUCGGCUACCGGUGUUAUGUUCCAUAAACGAGCGCUCCUAACACGAUCGGGGUUGUUAUAGGGAACCCCUUGAUAAUUCGUUUUAGAUUAAAGCUGGUCUGGCAAGGCCCAACAUUGGUUUUACAUUUUCCCAACAUAAUAAUUUGAUAAUACUGAAAUGCAUAUGGAGUUAGCGCUACCCGAGGAGUAAUUCUACAUAAUACAGGAGGGGCCAGUGCUGAUGGUGUUGGUCCCAAACGGUCUGCAUGCGGGGUCACCACGAGGAAACUCGAGGUUUGGCACCCGUAGCUAAUUCCAUCCGUCAUGUCCUGAGAACGAGAUAUGCGGCUCCUAUUGGGAUCGUCGACACGCCGGGCGGCCUUGCUGGAUUAGUUUUACCUUUGACGAGAUAUCUUGUGCAUCGGGAUUCCGGUGAUGCUUUGGGUAAUCUCAGAGUUGAGGUUUUCCACUAGGGAAUCCGACGAGAUCGCGAGCUUCAUGAUCGAGGAUUUCUAUGCGGCUUGUGGUAAUUUGUGAUGGACUAGUUGGAGCACCCCUGCAGGGUUAAAUCUUUCGGAAAGCCGUGCCCGCAGUUAUGUGGCAACAUGGAAACUUUGUUUAACACUGGUUCUAGAUAACUUGAAGUUAACAUAAUUAAAAUAUGCCAACUGUGUGCGUAACCGUGAUUGUUUCUUUCGUGAGUUCUUUCUCCGAUCGAGGACACGGUGGGGUUAUGUCUGACGUAGGUAGGUGUUCAGGAUCAUUCUUUCGAUCAUCUGUAGUUCACGUCCGCUAUGCGUAGAUCUUCCCCCUCUUAUUUCUGGUACUCGUAAGUUUAGCCACCAAAUAUAUGCUUAGCCGCUGCAGCAACCUCACCACUUUACCAUACC
rnacentral:lncRNA from 1 species